GAGACAGAGCUGUCCUCACAGUGUCCCCACUCACAUCAGUGUUAAUGCUGAUCUCAGUCCAGUUCUUGGUGUGUGGAGGGCUGCACAUGGAGGAGUAAAUCUACAGUAGAGCAGGAGAGAGGAGAAAUCCCUCAGCAUGAAACUCAGUCCACAAUCCAGACAGGAUUUUAGGGCCUUCAGCUUCUCUCCACUGCAGGCAUCACAAGGAACCUCAGCACUGUGUAAGGCAGCUCUUACAGAGGUUGUGUCCACAUGGAGUGGUGACUGGAUCAGUGAGCACAUCCACACAGAUCGGACACAGCAGCAGAUCUUUAGACAGGAGACUGCUGGAGUCAUGAGACACUAGAAAAGAAAAU